AGUAAAAUUGUCAUAGAGUGCCACAACACCUGCUUCGGGACUUGAGAAAUUGACUUUUCCUGCAAAUUACCCUGAUCAGUGACCUUGUCUUGGCUACCAAAGGGUUCGGAGAAGGAGGGAAGCUGUACGUGUGGCCAUGCCCCAGCCCAUGAUUGGUAUUUAGUGCUUUGAAGUUCACAGUUAUCUCUUUAAUGUACAGACAUAUUCCGAAACAAAUACCACACUACAGUCGUCAACAGGAAAACCCAACUGUCGCCUCUUAAAGAAAUAACAUUUGAUCUCUCCUGCGGUAUAGACUGCGGUAUAAUUCAAAAGCUCCCAAUUACGAUUUUCUUGAAGAAGGGGACGUUCGGUAGAUUUGCCUUUUUGUCGCGAGCGACUAUCUCAGGCAGGUCUCCGGGUGAGUCAUCACGCACCAGUGAUACGACAGAAGAUAGAAAUGUUCAGUCAGCACUCAGAGCCUGGGUCUUUCAAAAGUGCUUCUUGGGGAAGAAAAUGCGCGAUCGGCGCCUCCUGCCACACAGACAUUGGAUGAGAUCAAAGGUCAUCCCUGGAAGCUCAAGAGGACCUCGGAGGGACCAGGAAGGGGCGUGCAGGGCCACGCACCCACAGACGGAAAGGCGACCGACGUCACGUCUGUCCCUACCAGGAACACCACUCUCCCCACACCUGUCCCCACAUCGGUGGGUACUGUCUCAUUUCCUCACCAAGCGGCCAACUGGUUCCGCACCCCGGUCCCAGCUCCUGGGCCCCCGCCCUCCACUGGCCGGUAGCUAAUGAAGGCAAAAGUUGUGAAUCUCCUCUAGAAUGUCAUUUUCUCACAGAGGCAUGCAAACAGUGUCAAAGUUCCGAAGAGUGCAUCUCUCUAGGUAGAAUUCCAGUAGGUAUGCCCUUAUAUUUUUUAAAUAUAAAUGUUAACUUUGUACAUCACUUUCCAAGUACUGGAUGAGGCUUACUGUAGGACACCCACAACAGACCUUUAAGAAUCAAAGGCAAAAGAGUAAGAACUUACGGUGGUCGGGAGCUGGGGAGGGAAUGUGGGAAGGGAUGCGACUCCUCCCUUGCCGGGGCCACGUGGUCGGUGUAGCUAAGCGUUCCACUGAACCCCACCCUUCCCAGUAAAUGGAACAACUUAUUUGGGAAGGAGACCUACUCCCUCGAUUCCCAAACACAUAGCCAUUGUCUCCCGGCAGAGGUGGCGUGGAGAGUUUUAAUAAGGCAGGAGGCAGGGUGAAAUCGAUAGCUUGCACCUCCGAGUUUAGGCUCGAGCCCUGCUCGGUGUCGGCAGAUGGUGCUGGAGAAACAGGAUUCCCCUGGAAUCUGUCUGUUUUCGGAGCCGUGCUCUCUGCCAUGAGGCCGGACAGGAAAGUGCUGUAGACACACACGGGCAGCUUGUGUGGACGGGGGACAAGGUCUCACCCGAAAUAGAACGAGGACAGCAGAUUCCUCCCUGGAGAGAGUGUCUGUGUGUGUGUGUGUGUGUGUGUGUGUGUGUGCGUGUGCGUGCGCCGCACUCCUCUUCAGCGUGUUUUUUUUCUGUGAUUAAAACAAGAGGUGAUUUCAAUUCUGAAAACGACCCGAGCCCCCACUGUGAACCUGGCCGUGGCCCUGGGUGAAAGCCACGGUCACCAUGGCGGUGCUGUCUUCUCCCCUGCAGACAUCCAGGACAAAGAAGACACACAACUUAGGAAGGUGAGAUGCCUUUUAAAAUUUAGACAAAAUCUUAGAGGGUUUAUUUCCUUGAUCUCUAGACCUACAUCCAUUAACCCACAGUCGAAGACAAUCAGUGCUACUGUCUGGGAAGGCAGCUCAAAUGGGUCGAAACUGCCAUUGUAUAUCCAGGAAAGAUAGAGACACAGCACAGGUUUUUUUUUUGUGUGUGUUUUUUUUUUUUUUAAUGCCCGUUUCCAGGGAACCAGCUACUGCUGAAUGCAGCCUGAUAGAAAUUCAAGAUAAAACUCUCAUGGAUUCGGCUGAACCAUAAAGUGCCACUUAACAGACGAUUUGCACAGUCUAUGAACUGCUUGGAUUUGCUGAACUUCUUUUUUCACCAUUCUAAACUCCAUCUCAUCAAACUAGUAUUUUUUAACUCUACAGAGCAGCAUUUAAAAUGAUAAAUUUCAGGGAGGAGGGAAGAGAGAAGGCGUUUCAUGAAUAACUGGGACCAGACAACAGCCGGGGAGACGUCUGACUUUCUUAUGAAGAAUCCAAACCCUGAACCGUGACUUAUCCUGGGUCUGUCUGAUCCUCCUCGUUCUCCUAGGACCUCUCACUACUCUGAUACCCUUGCAAAUUUCCUGGUUGCUUUUCCAGGCCUCAUUGUGAAUAUCCACCGUCCUUCAACAGGACUCUCUGUCUCUUUGAACACUUAUGAUAUACAUGGACUUUACUUUCUGGCUCUUGUCUAUCAAAAAAAAAAAAAAAGAUUUAUCUUUCAGGGGUUGUUUUCUUAUCUUCUGUUGCUUAAACAAUCAUCUUCUGUAUUGUUGAGAAAAACCCAAAGCUGUCAGCUUUCCUGGACUCAGCUCUCUAGCAAACUCACCCCCCCCCCAACUCCCAUCUGCUUAUAAUUUAAUGCUCUGUAUGUUUUAAUCAUUUCAUUAGGCAUGUCUUUAUUUUGAAAUGCAACUAAUUCCUCAGUUCAAACAAACAGCCAGUAACUCUAAAAUGAGACCAUUCUUUUCUUUUGGUUAGAGGCUGGCUUAGAAGCAAUAUCACACCUAUUUUGAGAUGGUUUGAAAAGACUCAAAUGCUCAUUUUUAAAAAAUCAUUGCUUCUUAAAAGUGGAGAGAAUCUCAGAGAUUCUUUUAGUAUCUCCACAGGUGUGGAGCUAACUUUUGAAGGAGUCGUCUCACAUCCUCCUGAACACUUUGUGAUGAAGCCAGUAUUAUUAUUAAAGCCCGUCAGCAAACAGACCAAAAAAAAAAAAAAAAUUAUGCCUUGAGAUAUCUCAUUCCUAUACUUGGUGACAAAGGACACAAGAGAGAACUGACCCCACUGUACAGCUUGUAUAUUUUAUUAAUGUAUUUUCUUUACAGGAGUUUACAAUUUAUUAAGGCAAGGGGGAUUAUGUUUUGCUAGCAGGGGGAAGUGAAUUUACAAAGUGCUUCGUAUGUUUUUGUUUUUGUUUUUGUUUUCUGUCCCUGACAUGCAGAUUUAUUCAACAUCAUCAAGAUGUUGAAUCAAUCCAUCAAGAAAUGGAGUUGCCGGAAUUCCGGCAUAUAUUUCCCUUUAAAUAUAAUUCAUAUUAUAAUUUCAUAUUAUAUCAAUGGCCCAACUGUACAACAUGGAAUUGGUGUCUUUCUUUGCUGAUACUCGUAUUAAUAUCUGGCAAUAAAAUGUUCUUUCAACAUUUCAGAAGCGCAAGUAACAUUUUGCAUCCAACAGGCAUUUAAUAAACGUGUGUUGAAGCAUUGGGAGAUAAAUGGGUAGGAUACACAUCGACAUUUAACAUUUAUGUCUUAAUUCAGCUGUGAGUGCCAAUGUUUAUUAACGUUGCUGUAUAACAAAUACAACCGUGUGCUUUCUGAUAUAGUCUCUUCCGGUGGGGAUUUCUUCUACUUCCAAAACAGAAGUCAGAACCAUUUAAAUUUCUACAUAAAGGUUGAAAUGAUAAUAAGAAUCCAGGAGUGAAGUUGUCUUAGAGGAGUUGUUUUAGGACACGUUGGCGAGUUAUUGACAGAUGGGAAGCCAAGUGUGGCUGAUACAAAUGGUUGUCAGACGCCAUCUAGUGGCGAUAUGUGAAACUGUGCUCAUUCCAUAGGAAAGGCUUUUGGAGCAAGCUCGUCGGCUCUAAAUUUCAGCGCCUAUCGGGCCACCAAUGUACAUCUGUCCAUCUUUAAGGCUUUCAGCUAAGGGGAAACACUGAAGAAAGCAUGCCAAAUUAUCUUCCAAGAUCUCUGUGUCCUUGGGGAUAACUAAGAAGUAACUAGUGGGGGAAACUGUUUCUUUCUGGAUGCUGACAAGCAAAAGCGGAAAGCAAUUUGGAGAAAACUUUGCCUGCAACAAACGUGGUGUAAACCAAGGUGAGUAGCAUGACAUUCCCCGCUACAUUUUCCCCACGGGACCUUUCACUGCGUACAGAAAUCCAUGAUCUGGCCAUGACUUCUACAACCCACAGGACUUGCUUACCACUGCCGAAUUUGCACGGGGCGGGGGGAGAGUCUGUGGCAGGUGCCUAGUUUUAUCCAGCAUUUGAUGCUACUUCAUAAGACGUCUUAAUUCUUACACAUGUGCACAAUCGCGACGUUUUGCACUGGGUUACAAUGUCACAUUUCACAGUUACCAACAAUCUGAUAUUCAACGGUCUAAGGUAGGUCUGUUACAGUAAAAGAGGUAAGAAAUCCAAGUCAGUAGUGGAAAAUAAAUGUCUCCAGCUUGCAGUUUGCAUUGUCAAUUAGUCUAAAGUACAGUGAACACUUUGAGUUCUUCUUCCAGUAUAUCCACGUUAAAUGUCCCCAAGACAAGUCAGAGUGAGACAAUAAGUCAUUUAGGUGUAAAUUGUGCAAAAAAAAAAAAAAUUAACUAAAUAAGCAGUGUAUGUGUAUAGUGGAAUGGUUGGCAGAGAAUUCAAUAUUUGAGAGUAAAAUCAAGACAAAGUGUUUAGGAAUCUCCCAGAGCAAGUAAUUUUGCUUGUCUAGAUUUCCACCUUAGCAAGUUUACAGGGCUUGAAAAACGCUGCUUUCAGAGCAAUGUGAACGGCUUUUUAAGACCAUCAAAUACAAAAUGAUUUAGUCUAUCAGUUCCAAAAUUGAAAAUACUACAGGAUCAUUUCCCCUGCAUGUUAAGGUCAAUUUCCACCAUAAAUACAUGCUUUCGGUGUACAAGGCUCAGCCUAAAAUGUAUUUGCAUUUGCCUUUUGAACUAUCGUCCUGAUCUCUACGUUGUGAUAAAGCUUCAGCCACAGCUCAAACAUUUAUUUUCACUUUGUCAAGGGGCUAUUUAUUUUAAGGGAAACAUUGAAUGAUUUAAGGUACGUAUCAUUUGUUUUUAGAAAAGACUGUGAACGAGGAGCAACCUGAAAAACCGGAUUGUUACACAGAUGAAGUCACCAAUCAAAAAAAAAA